UACAGAGGUCUCGAGCGUUGUUCGGAUUCAUUGGGCGUAAAGGGUGCGUAGGUGGCUAGGUAAGUCGGAUGUGAAAUCCCGGGGCUCAACCCCGGAACUGCAUUCGAUACUGCUUGGCUUGAGUGCUGGAGAGGAGAUUGGAAUUUACGGUGUAGCAGUGAAAUGCGUAGAUAUCGUAAGGAAGACCGGUGGCGAAGGCGGAUCUCUGGACAGUUACUGACACUGAGGCACGAAGGCCAGGGGAGCAAACGGG
rnacentral:rRNA from 1 species